rnacentral:rRNA from 1 species
UACAGAGGUCCCAAGCGUUGUUCGGAUUCAUUGGGCGUAAAGGGUGCGUAGGCGGCGCGGUAAGUCGGGUGUGAAAUCUCGGGGCUUAACUCCGAAACUGCAUUCGAUACUGCCGUGCUUGAGGACUGGAGAGGAGACUGGAAUUUACGGUGUAGCGGUGAAAUGCGUAGAUAUCGAGAGGAACACCUGCGGCGAAGGCGGGUUGCUGGGCUGAUACUGACGCUGAUGCGCGAAAGCCAGGGGAGCGAACGGG